GGGCCCGCACAAGCGGUGGAGUAUGUGGUUUAAUUCGAUGCAACGCGAAGAACCUUACCAGGGUUUGACAUCCUGCGAAUCUCUUGGAAACAGGAGAGUGCCUUCGGGAACGCAGUGACAGGUGGUGCAUGGCUGUCGUCAGCUCGUGUCGUGAGAUGUUGGGUUAAGUCCCGCAACGAGCGCAACCCACGUCUUUAGUUGCCAGCAUUUAGUUGGGCACUCUAGAGAGACUGCCGGUGAUAAACCGGAGAAGGUGUGGAUGACGUCAAGUCAUCAUGCCCCUUACAUCUGGGCUACACACGUACUACAAUGGUACGUACAGAGGAGGCAAGCUGGCGACAGUGAGCGGAUCUCUUAAAGCGUAUCGU
rnacentral:rRNA from 1 species